AACCGCWUWGAGCAAAACGAAUGGGCCUUCGAAUUCCGAUGAUGAAACAAUUCAGUGUCGAUAGCGUACGUGCCGAUUGAGUAUGUGUUUGCUUUUAGCUUCACUGCUUGGUAUGGUUGCAAGCGUUGUUGAUGCGCAUUUUGUUUUGUCGGUAGGGCGUCGUAACCAGUAGAGUUAAUAAAAAAGCGUUUUGAGGGCUGAUGUAUUGGUAGCAUUUGAGUAUUUAUACUCGAGUGUAAUUAGUGCUUGGUCUGAAUGAAUCGCUACUUUACUGUGGAGCAGUCUUGUAUUUUUGCGCAAGUAGACCGGAAGGUAUAAAUGCUAUGUUGUUGAUCCACUUUUAGUGGGCUGCGAUGUAGUGUUUUGCUGGUAGCUGGAUUACUUUUGCUUGUACUUGACGGUUUACGGCGAGUAGGUCGGUAACCCAUUCGACCCGUCUUGAAACACGGACCAAGGAGUGUAACAUGUACGCGAGUCAUUGAGAUCCUGUACCUCAAAGGCGAAAUGAAAUGUGAAGGUUAAUUUAUUUUAACUGAGACGUGAUCUGUUCCUCUUUGUAGUAACGGCGCAACGUCCACCCGUUCAACGUGAACUUGUUCACAGAGCGGAGUGAGAGCGUACAUGUUGCCACCCGAAAGAUGGUGACCUAUGCCUGGGCAAGAUGAAGCCAGAGGAAACUCUGGUGGAGGUCUGAAGCGAUUCUGACGUGCAAAUCGAUCGUCUGACCUGGGUAUAGGGGCGAAAGACUCAUCGAACCAUCUAGUAGCUG
rnacentral:rRNA from 1 species